AUUGAACGCUGGCGGCAGGCCUAACACAUGCAAGUCGAGCGAGCGGCGGACGGGCGAGUAAUGUAUGGGGACUGCCCGAUAGAGGGGGAUAACUACUGGAAACGGUAGCUAAUACCGCAUACUAUCGGAUAACCCAUAUGGGAGUAGCUAGUAGGUGGGGUAAUGGCUCACCUAGGCGACGAUCCCUAGCUGGUUGGAGAGGAUGAUCAGCCACACUGAGACUGAGCCACGGCCCAGACUCCGACGGAGGCGGCAGUGGGGAGUAUUGGACAAUGGACGCAAGGCUGGUGCAGCCAUGCCACGUGUAUGAAGAAGGCACUAGGGUUGUAAAGUACUUUCAGUCGGAAGGCGUUACCGACAGAAGAAGCACCGGCUAACUCCGUGCCAGCAGCCGCGGUAAUUC
rnacentral:rRNA from 1 species